UGGGGAAUAUUGGACAAUGGGGGCAACCCUGAUCCAGCCAUGCCGCGUGAGUGAUGAAGGCCUUCGGGUUGUAAAGCUCUUUCAGACGAGACGAUGAUGACGGUAUCGUCAGAAGAAGCCCCGGCUAACUUCGUGCCAGCAGCCGCGGUAAUACGAAGGGGGCUAGCGUUGUUCGGAAUUACUGGGCGUAAAGCGCGCGUAGGCUGCGACAUGCGUCAGAGGUGAAAUCCCAGGGCUUAACCCUGGAAUUGCCUUUGAUACCGUGUUGCUGGAGUUCGAGAGAGGGUGGCGGAAUACCCAGUGUAGAGGUGGAAUUCGUAGAUAUUGGGUGGAACACCGGUGGCGAAGGCGGCCGCCUGGCUCGAGACUGACGCUGAGGUGCGAAAGCGUGGGGAGCAAACA
rnacentral:rRNA from 1 species